UACGGAGGAUGCGAGCGUUAUCCGGAUUUAUUGGGUUUAAAGGGUGCGUAGGCGGGCUUUUAAGUCGGCGGUAAAAAUUCGGGGCUCAACCCCGUCCGGCCGUUGAAACUGGGGGUCUUGAGUGGGCGAGAAGAAGGCGGAAUGCGUGGUGUAGCGGUGAAAUGCAUAGAUAUCACGCAGAACCCCGAUUGCGAAGGCAGCCUUCCGGCGCCCUACUGACGCUGAGGCACGAAAGUGCGGGGAUCGAACAGG
rnacentral:rRNA from 1 species